UAAAAAACGGACCAAGCCUUUUAAAUAAAACACAAAGUUUAAAACAGUAGCAGAAUUCAAGCAAGCUCAUCUUAACGCACAGAGAUUUCUUUCCAUUUUGAACAUCAAAGGUUUACGGCAAGAUAUUAUCACAAACAAGCAACAGUAUUGCUAAAUGAAAUCAAAUUGGAACAACAACCAUGGUUCCCUCAGAAAGAUGCAAAGAAGAAUCGAAACAUAGAAAUAAAGUUCGGAAAGGAAGCUAACCGGUUGCGGCGAGCUCGACCGACGAAUGUAGUCACACUGCUAGGGUCUUUUGAAUUGGCCGCUGAGAUCAAAGGGGUGAUGGAUUUGGAAGUGCUUUUGGUGCUGCCAGUUUGUCUAUCCUGUUUUGGUGCUUAUUUUGAAAAAGGUAACAUGUACCUUGUACUUCUUCUGUGAAAACAUUUUCAUUUUUGUUGCUUGUGAACUUUUACUGCCUUACCAAGUUAUUUUACUGCAGUGAAAACGGAAAGCAUCAGCAGGUCCACUGUGUAUCUUCUUCCUCCAAACUAUUGCCUCAUGAACUGUGAUUGGAAUGCCGCUACUAGUGUCAAUGUCACUACCACCAUGGUCCUUAAAAACAGAACCAAAACAUCUUCAACUGUGUAGGUGUAUACGUAUGACCGUUGACAAUGAUUAGAAUCAAACUGUCUAUCCCCAACAUCAUCUGAUACUUUGAAUUUGUUGACAUCUUGAUCAAUAGGAUUGAUAUCCAUAUUUUUCUUAGACUGGAAUUGAUUUAGUGUAGAGAAAUUAUGAUGCAAGAAAGUGUUUGGUCUUAAAGACCUGCCAAAAUCCUCAAUAUCUCUAGGAGUCGCAACUUGGCUAGAUUGAGAUGCAUCCGGUGUGGUUUUCACAACAUGUUCCUUCACGCAUGAAGCGCUUGCCGUCCUGUCAGCAGCAUCAACAACUUCAAGCAACAUCUGCUUUUCUCCACGAGCAUUGUGUUCAGAUGAAUUCCUAGAAGACGAUCCUUGAGCUUGGUUCCGUAGUUCUGUUACAAUUUCCUUGCUGAAGCAAUGCUAUCACUUUAUCGGCGGAGUAAACUUUGUAUUGCGUAAGGCCUGCUGCUCUCAAAACAAGAGGCCUUCCAUGUGAAAUCAAAUCUCUUACAGUUUCGUUAUAAACCUCGAGAUAGGACAGAUGAACUACAUGGUUUCCAUCAUAGCUUCUAGUCCUGAUUUUACUGAAGAGAACCUUAAUUGCGAACACCAUCACUCCUGGGUUUUCUACUGUACCAUGCAUUGUGUUACAUGAGCUUGAGACUGUUGUUGGAGCUGAAGUGUCAAUUGUUGGUGAAGUGAAGUUUUUCUCAAAUACUGACUUUGAAUUGGCAAGAACACCUGAUUUGGAUGAAAUCCACCGAUACGGAGACACCGCUGAUAGCCACUUUGUAGCAACUGAAAUAUUCUGCCGCCACUCAUGCUCGCACUGCCAACAGCUGGUGACCAGUACAAAUUUAGCUGGCUCUUGAGAUGGAUGAGUUCAAAUAGCUACCCUCUAAUGGAAAUUUGCUAUCAAUAAUGCACGGGGGAUAACAGACAGGGCACUAUUUAAUAAACUUGAUGGGAUCACGAGGAGAAUCUGAUAUGACAUUGAAUAUUGCACAUUCAGUUGGCCUCUCUGGGAUCACAAUAUGCACAUGAAUCCAAAAUGAUGGACUUAGAAUUGAGCUUGGAUCACUGAUGCAAGCUUCAGAAGCAUAAGUUAUGGCAUUCACCUUUCCACACCAAGCAACGACACUGAAAUAGCGACAAAUCUGAGGAAAAUCCAUCUUGUGAAGUAAAUAGACGUCUGGCUAUUCAAGGCAAAUUUGAAAAACGGUGGCGGGGGUUUUCGGGAAUGAGUAUUGCUCUUGCUCUUCUUCUACUUCCACCUCUAUCUGAUUCUUUUCUAUUGCUGAUAUGAAUUAUAGAGGUACUGCAUAGCAGUGUGAUGCGUGCGGAAUUGUUUGUAUUUUGGUAAACCUUGAUAUGAUUCGAACUCCGCAUCAAGCAUGGCUACUAUUCUUAGCCUAGUGCUGGCUUAUUUCAUACCAAGUGCUGUUUUUAAACAGCUUCCGACUUGGCUUAAACAAACUAUGUGCAUUUUCAUUAAUCGUCAUAAUAUCUUGAGAAACAGAAGACGGAGAAAAUGUCUGUAAGCUUGGAACUCCUUGAACAGUACUAGUAGGACGUGCAACUGACGAAUUAUGAUGAAAAGCUGACCCAGUUACCAUGGAAGUUACGGGAACUGGUUCCACUUUAACAGUAGCAGGAGUUACAGUCCCAGCAGGUAUUAGUUGUCGGUUUGCAAAAUAUCCAUUCACUGAUGGUAAUGUAGUUGGGGGUGCCCCCGUAACUGGUAUUGUAGAUGCAAAAUCUACUUUUACAGGACAUUGAUUUGAAGGCAAGUUUGCUCCAGAACGACUCAAGGCACCACGGGCUUCCCUGAAACCUUCUGAUAUUAAAACAAGGAAAUGAGUGGUUUUAGCAUCAACUGGUGGAUCAGCAGCUCUAUCAUUUCGUUUUCCCGCAUCGUAAAUGGCUUUAACUUUGGGAAGUUGUUUUGGGCAGAUGAUCGAUAGAGAAAUAGAAAACUGCGGAAACAACUAUCUGUUUUAUUAGCCUCUUUUAUCCUCAGACAGGCUUCAACAUCAUGCUGAUGAUUUUCAGUCUCGGCAUGGGAAACCGCUUCUUCAAAUUUUGUGUUUAUCGGGUUUGAGGUUAAUGUUACAAUAAGGCGAUACACUUCCUUUACAUUUAAAGACUGAACUGCUAGAAUCUUGGAGAGAAAAAAAGAGUUUGCUUGAUCCCUUCAAGAUUGAGAAGACAAGCUUUGCAUAAACAUCAAUUGCGAUAAAUGACAUUGACCACAUUAGUUGAGGAGAUUGCAGUGCCCAUGAAUUAAUCCCCUCAAUGGAUAAGCAAUGUGCAACUGCGAUUUCCAUCAACAGACGAAAAAACGAUCUGUCAUAUCAUCCCCUAUGAUUAAUACCCCGUCGGCAGGAACCUGAUCUCCUAUUUUAAGGGAUUCUGAAAUUGCAGAGAUUGUCGAUAAUCACGACAAUUCUAAUCAGUACCAUGGCAACUGAACCACCAGGGAGUCUGUGCUUCUAUGGAUGUACAACAUAGUAGUUACUCAUGGUCAUAAUGCUGAUGAAGAAUCCAUUAUACCUAAGCUUGAUUCGGUAUUCAAGAUUACGAGUUCCAGAGCGACAACUUAUUUUGGUGCAAUUACCAAGCCAGCUAAUUCAACUGUUAGCAAUUCGAAGUUGGGAAUCCCUGACAGAAACGGAGCUGACAGUUGCGCCCACCAAUCAUCCGGUCACCGCAGUCAUAACAGGUAAAUCAAACUCGCUGCAUGAGUGUUAUCUUGGAAAGUGCCAAAACAUUUCCAACGAAACAGCAUUGACCGAUACCGGCAACAUCAUCAUGGAUAUGUGAAAGCCAAGACAAAUAGCCAAUUGGUAACACGACCUUCCCAAAUAUCGCAUCACAUUUCAUUUAAUUGGCUAACAUCUCUCAAAGAGAAAACCAACAGAAAUCAAUUGAACCAAGGCCUUGCAUCGUCAUCAUCGCGGCUUCCCUUUCUAGACCAUUCUGCAAAUCUUGGGAUGAUCCAUGUAGCGUAACAGGCUUGGCUACAUCUUGCCCAUUAUUGGAAAGUGAAUGAUUAUUUCCCCAUGAAAUCAGAGGAAACAACUGAAGUUCACAAGCAAAAGCACAAACAGUAGCCAUAACAUAAGAAUCAAAUUCUGCUACAGGACUUUGCUUCUUCACUUUCCUAUUUUUCCUUUCUUUCCGGAUUUCAGAUAUUGCUUGUAAGUCCUCAAUGAUUUCCUCAACUGAAUAAUUAUCUUCACCUCUAGGUUUUUUGCUUCCACUGAAUUGGGCUCCGUGACCGACACAGACGGUCAGGAUAACAAAAAGCAGACGGGAAGAAAGCUCUACAGAAGCACACGAUUCUAACAAAAGUGGAUGAACCGUAGUCCGAAGUUCUGUCACAUCAAGGUUUUUAGAGGCUGAACCAAUGCCAAAGAGGUAACUUGCUUUCCUAUUUUGUUCUCUACUGGAUUCGGGUGGAAAUGUUUCUCUGGAGAAUGGCUUCCACUGUGGCAGCAAAUAUUUUCAUGAGACACGCUUUUGACGGGCUUCCGCGAGGGAGAUAUUCCAAGACCUUAAGUAAAGGUAUACACAAAUUCCAUGACAGUAUGGUCGGUUGGAGUGGGGCUGCAACUAUUAUUUUUGGAAGAUCAACAGUUGAGGAAUUGGCAGGAAUCAGACCAUAAGCAGCUUCCCAAAUGGUGUAAAUUCUCCAUUCAACCUCUGGACCAUGAGCACACAACAUUGAUGCAAUGCCUUGGGCAGUAGCAUCAAUAGAAGACUCAGCAGCAGAAUGUUGAACUUCAAGUUCAUUCACAAUUGUAGCAGCAUCAUUCGUCACAAAAAGUUCAUCCAAAUGAUUUAUAACCAUCUCAUUCAUCCCGUUGGGGCCGAGGGAAGUGCGAGUGAUGGUGGAGAGUUGGUUACAGGCAUCGGUGUUUUUUGAGAACGGCUUUGACGAGACCGGAGAGAUGCUUGUGACCUUCUUUGAGCAUGGAUUGCAUACCGUAGGACGACUGAGAGUUGAAACCUACCAUGUUCGCUUCUCCGGUUAACGGUGGUGGUUGUGAUUUAUGGUGUGCCAUUUAAUAAUUCUUCUGAUUUCAGCUGGCAGUGAUCAUCCAUUAGAUCAGCUCUUAUUUCCAUCUAGCCAACAGCACGGAGCAUGCUCUUCUGAGUUCGACGAUUUUUUCAAAUUCAACUCCAGCUGCUAUGUGAAGCAAAGACUGUUUCUCAAAGCCCAAACACAACAGAGAGAAGUGGACGGUUCGCCACUGGAAUUUCUCAAAUCAAAUCUCUGGUUGAAAUGGUUCCGUCUGAGCAACAGUCUUCUUUUAUUUUUUGGUAAAGAAUGCAGAAAACAAUUGAUGAACAGAGUAAAUCGAAAUUCACAGUACUGUUACAUGGACUGUACAUUGCAUAGCAUUUCCAAAUAAACUUAUCUAGACUCAUUCACAGUA